CCUGGAUAUGGCUUACCUGGGAGAAAUACUUAUAAGUGCUUCUAGAAAAGCCAGUCCUUGUCCUUCUUUGCCACUCUGGGUAAAGUGGAUAAAAGUUGUCAAUUUCAAUAACUUAUACUUUGUAUUAAGCCUAAACUCUAUCAAACUGUUGAUAUUGGUCAUUUUUUAUCCAAAAAAUAAAAACUGUAACACGAUUUACCCUGAUAUUUUAAACCUGUUGAGGUUCAGAUCCCCAUACAGAUCUCAAAGAUUAUCAAGUACUCUCAUCCUUUCACUUGCUGAGAGAAGGAACAAACAAUAAAACCAGACCAAGUUGGAAACAAUUGUAGCUAAAAUCCUCUGUAAUGCCACAUCCACAGUAAGUCUGGCAGUUGCAGGCAUCCUGCUGGUCUCCAGAGAGAGAAAGGUAAGCUGAAUUAUAAAGAGAAUUAAGAUGAAAUGCUGAGCCCAGAGAUUCUCCCAGAAGGCAACACAAAAUGGAAGCACAAUGGGAAAAUUUAGAGAGUUGGAAAAUGAAAGCUGGAGGUUCAACCACCACCCAAAAGAACAGCUUCUUCUAUUAAAAGGAGAGAGCAGAGCCAAUGGAGGGACUAAUCAAAGCAACGUGAAAGAACACUUCUGAACUGUCUUUUUCUCUGUAUUGGACAGACAAAUACACACAGCCCCCUCACCUAAGGUGGCUUAGAAGCAAGCUUCUGAUAGCAGGAUGUGCAUUCAUGCUAUCUAUGUCACAAAACAGAUCUGCCGAGCAAAAUAGAGUUGCAGACCCCCUCAGGCUGUCACGGAUGUGUUAUUUCGUGAUCUGUAAUGAGAAUAACCAGCUACAGGGAGCUAAGUGACAACACUGAAGACAGAUGACAGAACCACACAGUGGCCUCCCUGGUUGACCAGACUUCAGAAAUCAGUGGGCCAUACAUCUCUCCUUUGUAGAACUUUGUGUUCUGUGAUCUUUUCACUCCUGCCAACCAUCCCUUUUAACAUCUCCCUUUGUUUUUAUUUUAAAGAAAAUAGUGACGACAGGCUUCUGAUAUGAAAUGCUCAUAUUGGAAAUGAAAGCUUCUCUCAACCUGCAUCAUCUUUCAUUGGUUUAACUGGUUCUUCCAGGAUCUUUUCAGCAAAGGACACACAACAUAGUCCUCAGUACAUGAUGUCUCUUAGAUUUCACUAAAUCGGGUACGAAUUUCAUUCGUACCUUCCUUAUGGGAAGGACUUUGUUGGGGGGGUUAAUGGGAAGAGGGUACUUACUUCUGACCUCUGAAGAGACUUGCAGUGGAGUUAGUACAGCUUACUUUUUAGAGCUCCAGGGUUCCAAACAAGGUAGGAGACAUUUUCACAAAAUGACCCUGGUGUACCCUGAAUCUCCCAAACCUUUAAACUGGCAUGUGGGCCAGUUCUUUGCACUCCCUCUGAAAUACUGUCCAGGGCCUUGUAUCAGGAGCAGCGGCUGGCUUACUUUAUGUAGAAGGUACAACUAUGACCUACACUCAGAAAUGCUGGCCCAGCCUUCACAGCAGUUUGAUCUAGGUAAUUGAUUUUAAAAUGGGAACAAAUUGAUUUUAAAAUGGGAACACGUCGCAGUUCAACGGAUUCCAAAGAAAGUUAAAGGGACAGUUACUUAUUUUAAAAGGCAAGAGGUGGGUAGUGUCCACUCUAUGACUAUGUCCUUUUUGCAAUUAUCUCAAAGCUCCACAUAGCAGCUAACUGAUUAAAAAAGAAAGAAAGAAAAGAAAUGAAAUGAAAUGAAAACGCUUUCUCUGUACCAUGCCAAAGCCUCCUCUUCUCAAAUUCUCUGACUUACCUACUAAGGCCUCACUCACUUCCGCAAGACACCUCAGGGUUCAAUUGCUUCUUCCACCUCCCUAGCACCCACCAUUCCCCACCACCCCCAGCCUCUCCCUACAGAGCCCAGAGGAAAGGUCCUCCUUCUCCUUGAGGGACACAGGAAGUGAAGGAGAAUUUACACAAAGAAUGGACCUGUAACUGGGCACCUUUUCCCAGAGUAAACACAGGAGUGAGCAGCUACUGGAAGGAGGCCAGUGGGCUUUUAAAUAGUCUCCUUGUUUCUCAAUUCUUAUGCAACUGGAAUGGAUUAGCUAUUGCACUGGCUGCAGAGGAAAACCUCCCCACUGGGGAGCUUGGCAGGGAGGGGAUAAGGAAAGGAGGGGAGUCCUAGAAUGCCUUACUUCAUGGCAAGUGGCAAAAAGUGCCUUCUAAAGACAACGGUGAGAAACUGAAAGUGUCAGUACAAGGUCAACCUGGGACCUCAGACAGACUAUUGGAGACCAAAUCUCAGAUGCUCAAGGUAAGACACGCACAUUACGCAUGAAGACAGUCUUCUAUCCAUUCAUCCAUUCAGGUGAGGAGAACUGAGGAAGAACAGUUCUUUAUUUGUUGCCCUAUCCACCCUGCAUCUUUAAAUCUGCUUUCUUGUCUCUCUGGCUGGACCUACCUACAGUCUUCAAGACUUACAGAAGACUUAGUCUUCAAGAACUUACAAGCCAAAAAAAAAAAAAGAACUUACAAGCCUACCUAUCUUAGACACGCUGGAUCAAUAAUGGAAUCAACUCUGCCCAUUCCCCCACGACCUCCCCAGUUUAGUCAAAACUUUGGUAAAGAAAUUUUUGUUUCUGGACACAUGCCUUGUGUUCUGGUAGAGAAUGAACAGGGAGAAAUCAGGUAUAUUUAAGGUCCUGGGUACGGUAGGCUGAAUAGUGCCCCCCCACCCCCCGGCAAUGAUACCCACAUCCUAAUCUCUAAAAUCUGAGUGUUACCUUACAUGGCAAAAAAAACUUUACAGAUGUGAUUAAGGUAAAGAUCUCAAGAUGGGGAGAUUAUCUUGGAUUAUCCAAAUGGGGCCUCAAUGCCAUCAUCCUAAGUGUCCUCAUAAAAAGGAGGCAGAGGGGGAUUGGACACAGAAGAUGAAGCAAUGGGACUACAGAGGCAGGGACUGGAGAGAAGCCACCACAAGCCAAGAAGUGCUGGCAGCCUCAAGGAGUUGAAAGAGUCAAGGGAUGGACUCUCCCCUCUUGCCUGGAGGGAAGUGGCCCCACAAACACCUUCAUUUCAAACUGCUGGCCUCUAGAACUGUGAGAGAAUAAAGCUCUGUUGUUUUCAGCCACAAGUUUAUAGCAAUUUUUUGUAGCAGUCUGAGGAAACAAAGAUUUCUACAAUAUAUCUUUCCCAGGA